rnacentral:lncRNA from 1 species
CCUAGCAAUAAUAAGUGGUUAUUUCUGCCAAGACCAAGGAUUUGGAAAAUUAAAUACGAACUAUUUUAGUGACUACACAAACACAGAUAUAAACUUUUACCCUCUACAAUAUUUAAAUCCCUUAAAGGGAAUUUCUUAAGAAAGAAAGAAAUACAUUGCAUGAAGCCAUUGGAGGAAGGAUCGAGCCCGUUUGUUCUGACUGUUCUGACUGCUUGCCCAAGAUUGCUGGUUACUCUGUAUGUACAGCUACUAUAAAUGAUGAGGGAAAAGACUCCAGCUUCUAACAGAUAUAGAUCCCUUAUGCACCGCUUUAGAUUUUUAUAGCCUUUUAUAGCCCUAAUGCUGCAUCAGCCAGCCCUGCCUGGGCUCCAGCCAGAUGUCAAGUAGGUUCCAUGUAUCAACAGCCUCUCCCGGGCACUACUUUAUGACUCUUCUCUCAGACCACGGAACUUCCUAGUUGACAGAAACAAGAAUGUGACUGGAACCCAGCAUGUGUAACCUGAAAGUACAGGGAAGUGGAUGUGGUGUUGCUAAAAAGUUUGAUUGGUGGGAUGGGAGCCAGUGUAUAAAUGUUUUCCCUUUCUCCCUCAAGUGCUUGGACCUGUGUUAUCUCAGAAAAUCCUGUGGCCAACUCAGUAACACAUCCCUGCUUUACUCUCUUCUCUCUUAUUCCUGACCCCUUGAACUGCUCCAGGACUCCAGUAAAAUAUUCUUAACAUGAGUCUUUGUCUCAAGUUUAUUUUCUGAGAAAGGAAGAAGGCUAAGAAAUUAUUUUCAGUUUAGUACCAAGGAAAUGAGUGAAAGUUAAAUAAAUUGUAUGUCGCGAUUGUAUUACCAUUGAUUUUCAGGUUUAAAGUAGUUUAGAAAGCCCUUGAAUACAAAAAACAAACAAAUAAAAAACCCAGAGAUGCCUAAUAGUGCGAAGUCUGCUCUGGGCAACACAGCAGUAUAUUUGCUUGGCAAAAGAAAACAUAUAAUCUACAGGACAAUAUAUUAGAGCAGCAAGUGAGAGGAGAACUAUGUAACCUAUAAGUAAAGAUUAAAAUAAUGGGAACAUAGAUGUAAAUACAGUGUAUGUAAGGCAAAAAAGUAAAAUUGACAACAUAAAAGAAAAGUAAUAGUGAGAAAUAUAAGGAUAUGAAAGUUUCACUUUAUAGGAAGCAAUAUAUGUUUCUGAAGAGGAGCAUAAAAGAGUUCCAACUCAGUGGUGUAGUUGAGGAGAAUCUUCUCUGGAAGAAAGAAAACUUAAAUGCAUGAAGGAUCAGUUGUUAGGAGAAAAAGUGUCAAUCUACAUAGUAUGAAUAAAAAAACUUAUAAUGUAUUAUUUGCACAACUAACACUAAUGCCUAAAUGUGUACAAAAUAAUAAAGGUGAUAUGGGUAAUAUACAGUGGCAGAAAAUAUUUUAAAAAUUAAAAUUUUUGAAAUAGAUCAGUUGUUACAGCCUAUGCUUUCAAUACAACAAAAAUAAAAUUUUAGAAGUGUCAGAAAAAGAUAAACUCUACAGGCUUUGGAGAGAGACAUAUCCUAAUUUAAAUUCCAGUUUCACCAAUUACCCGCCGUGUUCAUGUGUAACGUGAAUAAGCAUUAAGAUUUCUGUGCUUCAGUUUCAUUCAACUGCGAAAGAUUGGUAUGAAAAAAUGAUAAAAUAAGCAUGUAAAGAGCUUACUAUACACCAAGUUGCCCAUGGUAAUAACCCCAAAAAAGGUUGUUUUAAUAACAUGUCUUCUGUUGCUAAGAGGCUUCAAUGAGGUAGAAAAAAGAGCCAGUCUCUAACUUGACUUGGUUUCAAAUGCCGAUUCUGACUUUUAUUAGCCAUAAUGACUACAUUAACUUCUGUGGAAAACAUGCAAUAACAUUGGACUCAGAUCUAACUGUGUGGCCAUGAACAAAUAUGAUUUUCUGACCUUCAACUUGAGAUAAAGAUUAAAUGUGAUAAUUUGUAUGAAUGUAUGUUCACGCAUUAUUUUUGUGUAAUAACCAGUUUAUUUCUUUCACACAUUAAAGUUUCAUAGGUUUAUUUUUCAUUUUAAUAGAGACUUUAAAAAGGAUUUCUGGAGUGGGAGUAAAAAUCAGAAUAAUGAGCCUGACUGAUUCUACUAAUGUUGCUUUAGAUGUCAAAACUUGGAUUUUCUAUUUCUUUUUAUCAAUGAGGAAAAGAUGUGAAAAGUCUCUACUGAAAAUCACAGAGAUGGAAGAAAACUCACUUAUUUUAAACUAAUUAAUUGUGAUUAACAAAUAUAAAUAAAAGCUAAGGAUUGUCACCUGGUUUUCAGUGUGUGAAAUAGGAGUGCACUGUGAAAACUUUGAAAUUUAUCGUUUGGGAACAUAUUUUUGAAGGAAACAUUAUAUGUACAAGCAAAAUUUUGCAAAAUUGUAUCUUAUGCUUAACAAUCUUACUAUAUAAAUAAGUAAUUGAAACAAGGUGGGCGGAUCACAAGGUCAGGAGUUCAAGACCAGCCUGGACAACAUAGUGAAACCCCAUCUCUACUAAAAAUACAAAAAAAUUGGCCAGGCGUGGUGGCGCAUGCCUGUAAUCCCAGCUACUUGGGAGGCUGAGGCAGGAGAAUCACUUGAACCUGGAAGGCAGAGGUUGUGGUGAGCCAAGAUCUCGCCAUUGCACUCCAGCCUGUGAGACAGUGUGAGACUCCGUCUCAAAAAAAAAAAAAAUUACUUUAUUCAAUUUCAUUUGUAUGAACUAUUAAAGAUUUUUGUCAGAUUCUUUAAUUUUAUGUUAUUUAUUCAUAUUUUGAAAGUAGAAGACUUACUGUGUUGCUCACAGAGGCUGUUUAGAUUUUUAAUUUCACCCAGGCCACAAAUCAAACUACUGACCUCUUAAUUCUCAGCAAAAAAUAAAUAAAUUUUUAUUUUUGAAAAGCUGGCAGUAUUUAAAUAUGUUUUCUAUCAAUUUUACAAUUUUUCACCUCAAUAUAUCUAAAUCAAUGUAUUCUCUGUUGCUUGUAUUUUUUAAAAGAAAUAAUUUUAUUCUCAUUUUUCUGACCAGAAAAGGAAGGAAACAAAAUCAUCAAAGGUUGCAUUAUUUUAUCACCCUGAGUAAAUGGGACUUCAUGCCAUUACAGGAUUCUGGAAGAAACAGAGCUAGCUCAUGCUGUGGGAGGGAGGGCUAGGGUCCUUACCCAUUAACCCCAGCCUGUCAUUGGUAGAGCACUGUUCCCGGGUGGCAUUAAUUCCCUAGCAGUCCCAGCCUCCUGGGAACAUGGGAAAAGUGGUCCCCAGUGGCCCCUGAACACUUUUAGGCAAACAGAUGCAGAGCUGAGAGUUGAAUAUCAGGCUAGCAUGCAUAAAAAAUGGCUAAAGUUAAGAAGAAAGAAGCAGGAAACUGACACAUGAUAUAUAAUAUCACAUAUAUAUUAAUAUAUGUGCGUACAUGUGUAUAUGUGUAUAUAUACAUAUGCACAUACAUAUAUAUAUUUCUCAUUAAAAAAAGUUAAAAAUACAAAGAAGGAAAAUAAAAAUCAACACCAUUUUACUGACUUCAGUUUGGUAAAAUGAAUUUUAAGGCAUUUAAGGUUUUAAAAAAGUUGUAAAUAUUGUGAAAAAAAUGUUAUAUAACUAAUUUUAAGCAUUGCUUUCCAACCUGCUUUUGUUGCUAGGUGUGUGUAGUGUUUUAUAAUUUUUAUUUAGGUCAAGUUGGUCAAUAGUGUUGCUCAGGUCUUCUAUAUACUUACCU